rnacentral:rRNA from 1 species
CCUACGGGAGGCAGCAGUGGGGAAUAUUGCACAAUGGGGGAAACCCUGAUGCAGCGACGCCGCGUGAGGGAAGAAUGACUUCGGUGUUUAAAGCUCUAUUAGCAGAGAAGAAAAUUACGGUACGUGAGUAAGAUGCCCCGGCUAACUACGUGCCAGCAGCCGCGGUAAUACGUAGGGGGCAAGCGUUAUCCGGAUUUACUGGGUGUAAAGGGAGCGUAGACGGCAGUGCAAGUCUGGAGUGAAAGUCUGCGGCUCAACCCCAGGACUGCUCUGGAAACUGUACGGCUUGAGUUCAGGAGAGGUGAGUGGAAUUCGUGGUGUAGCGGUGAAAUGCGUAGAUAUUAGGAAGAACACCGGUGGCGAAGGCGGCUUACUGGACUGCAACUGACGCUGAGGCUCGAAAGCGUGGGGAGCAAACAGGAUUAGAUACCCCGGUAGUC